rnacentral:tRNA from 1 species
GCCUGGGUGGCUCGGUUGGUUGGGCGUCUGACUUUGGCUCAGGUCAUGAUCUCACGGUUUGUGAGUUCAAGCCCCACGUCGGGCU